AAACCAACAGGGAUUGCCCCAGUAACGGCGAGUGAAGCGGCAAAAGCUCAAAUUUGAAAUCCUGCGGGAAUUGUAAUUUGAAGGUUUCGUGGUCUGAGUCGGCCGCGCCCAAGUCCAUUGGAACAUGGCGCCUGGGAGGGUGAGAGCCCCGUAUGGCGCACGCCGACUCUUUGCACCGCGGCUCCGACGAGUCGAGUUGUUUGGGAAUGCAGCUCUAAGUGGGUGGUAAAUUCCAUCUAAAGCUAAAUAUUGGCGAGAGACCGAUAGCGAACAAGUACAGUGAUGGAAAGAUGAAAAGCACUUUGAAAAGAGAGUGAAACAGCACGUGAAAUUGUUGAAAGGGAAGGGCUUGCAAGCAGACACGGUUUUACCGGGCCAGCGUCGAAAAGGGGGGAGGAACAAGAACUCGAGAAUGUGGCGCGCACCUUCGGGCGCGCGUGUUAUAGCUCGUGUUGACGCCUCCAUCCUUUUUCGAGGCCUGCGAUUCUAGGACGCUGGCGUAAUGGUUGCAAGCCGC
rnacentral:rRNA from 1 species